AGGGCAAUAGACGUUGCUUCUGAUUGGAUAAAAGAAGUAAACAAUAAGCUUUAGAAACGAUUCGGUAAAGAGAUGUUUGUUCGAUCUGAAGGAUCUUAGCUAGCAAAGUCCUGAGAUUUAUAAUGGGUCCUUAGGAAUAUUGAGGGGACGCAGUAAGGAUGAGGGGACAUCUGGUUCCCACCUUGCCCGUGGAGUGUGGCCUGGUCUAGGUAGAGUGUCGCCCGACGUAACAUAGUAUUUUACGUUAAAUAGAAUUAUCAGGUGUUUAAUUUUGCAAAACUUACAAUAAGUUAGAGCUCUACCUGCGCGAAAUUCGCCAUCGCGCGCUCGCCAUGAGUUGUAUCGUAAAAUUCUAACCGAGCCCCGAGUGGUUCGCGGUUGACGGCUUAGCAGGAAUUUUAUCUGAAGUCGGUAGAGGUCUCCUUCUUUCAGCGAGAGACUUGGAACGCGACAUCUUAGUUUUAUCUUCGUGAAUAACGAUUGGGCGCUUCUUCCAAAAUUUGUCAUCCUCCUUAUGACGUCUUGCUCCACGAAGAACGCCAAUUACGGAAAUGUAGAAGAUGAUAAGACAGUAAGAGUCAUAAGAACACGAACAUUUUUACAGUUAUGUUUCCUCAAAUAAAUCCCCGGUAAAUUCGGUUUACUCUAUCUAAAUCCUAGGUUUCUUUAAACAAACGUUGUAUUUGCCUCUUAGAAUAAAAGCUUACGUAGAAAUGUUUAAACGAUAAGUUAUUUCCAAUAACCAGUCAAACGAUUUCUCCUAUGCAUUCCUUCCCCUCUUCUUUUUUCAUGAAAGUUCGACAAUCACGUGCGUAGUUAUCAUUCCUUUACGUGCUUGAUUUCAUGGAAUGUUCCAUUUGUACAUGCGUUCAGUAAAGAGCAAAAGCCUUAGUCCACAGAUAUCGAACAGAAAUAUCUUGCUUUCCUUAAUAAGUCUUUUACGAAUAAAUUUCACUAGACAUUUUGUUCAAAUUUAUCGUGAUCGAUGAAUCCAAAUGAUUUUUUGUGAAAUUUUUACAUAUAGGAAUUGUACGAUAAAUAUAAUACGACAUUAAAAUAGUAAUAAAAAGUGAUAGACAAUGUACAAUGAUAAUAAAAGACGAAGUAAAUGAAAACAAACAAAUGGAAUUUGUUAAUAAGGGUCAUAAAAACUAACAGGACACGCUCUGUUGAAGAUUAAUCGAAAGCUGUUUAAAACUCGAGAAGAUUCGAUAAGAGAAACAGUAUCUCCAUAAUUCUAAUAACGUUGAUAAUCGUUGUCGAACAGAGAAACGAUUCGUCGAUCGCCCGUUGUUCGCCAAGAGGGGGAAACUUUUACUUCCUACACGUUCACGUACGAUUCCCCUGUCAUUAACCUGUUGUAUUAUUAGUGUGGCCAGUGCCAAGCCGAUGUGCUUCGGGCGUGUUUCCGGCUGCCAAUGAAUUUCACGAUUUCCCUUUCUAAGCUGCGAGUCGAAUGAUUCCUAAUCCAGGAAUAACGGCUAUCUGUAGUGAAAUUCAUAGCAGCGUCGAUCAAUUCUGUUAUUCGCUGAUCGUGCGAGAGAUCGCGUGAGAGCACGAUCGUUUAGCUGUAAUUAAAGCGGCGCGGUGCUUUACGAUGGAUGUCUCGCGAUUAAAUGUGCUCGUACGUUCCACAGAUUUUAGUCUUUUACUUUUUAGGAACUGGAAAUGUCAGGAGAAAUUUUCUGGAAUUGGACAACACUCUGCUAAUAAUUUCACUUUCGAAUACUUUUGGAAUAUUUUAUAGCAUCGGGUUUGUAAAAUUCCUUAUGUAACUUUCCAUACGAAUUUCCUAUGAUUACGAAUUAUUAAAAUACAAAUUUUUAAUUUUUCAAUCUCCAAGUUUACAAUUUUUUCAAGUUCCGUAAAAAUUUACCAUAAUAACGUUUUAACUUAUUUUUACGUGUUUCUGCAAUAUAAUUGCAUUGCCAUUUUAAAGCAUCUUUUACAAACAUUUUCAGAAAUCCCAUGCUGUUCUUAUCCCAAAUUACAAUUGAUACGGUCGUACAACCGCGAUUUGCAACUUUCUCCAUCGUUGGAUGAUAUAAACGUAUAUGAGAUAUUAUGUUAUUACCGAAGAAUUUGAUAUUAAAGAUUUUUGCCCUACUGAUUCUAUAACCCAGAGACGUUACGUUGGCAAGUGAAAUUAAUAUGCUUGACGAGAGUAGUAUGCUAAUAGAAAUCGCGAAUAGUAUGCGUUAGCUGUUCAAAAUGAAAGUUGUUUUACAAGUUUGCUUGCGUUUUUUUCAAGUAAUUAAAAGAAUUCUUCAACACGUGCUUCGCGUUGUUAUGUAUUCAUCGAUAAAUUUUUCUUGCGCAUCUAUCAAAUGUUAUUACUUAUCGCCCCAGAAAGCCUGUAAUUUUAUUCCAUUAAUACCUAAUCCUACCAUUUUUCUUACGGUUAGUCUUCUUCGGUUUCGAAUUUCUUGGAAACCUUCUUCCAGAGAGAUUUCGUUAGAUGAACGAUUCUGGAAUCUUUGCUUCAGCGAGCAGCUUAUCCAGCCAUUAAGCGUCGAGCAACCCUUGAAACUAAAUCAACAGCUCAACCACGAGAUUACUUGGUUCUGGGAAA